rnacentral:rRNA from 1 species
UACGUAGGGACCGAGCGUUGUCCGGAUUCAUUGGGCGUAAAGAGCUCGUAGGCGGCCACUCAAGUCGAAUGUGAAACCUCGAGGCUUAACCUCGAGCCUGCAUUCGAUACUGGGCGGCUAGAGUCUGGUAGGGGGAGUCGUGGAAUUCCUGGUGUAGCGGUGGAAUGCGCAGAUAUCAGGAGGAACACCGGUGGCGAAGGCGGGAUCCUGGGCCAGUACUGACGCUGAGGAGCGAAAGCGUGGGAGCAAACAGG